CUUAACAUGCAGUCGAACGAUGAACCAGCCUUCGGGUGGGGAUUAGUGGCGAACGGGUGAGUAACACGUGGGCAAUCUGCCCUGCACUCUGGGACAAGCCCUGGAAACGGGGUCUAAUACCGGAUACUGACCUGCCAAGGCAUCUUGGCGGGUCGAAAGCUCCGGCGGUGCAGGAUGAGCCCGCGGCCUAUCAGCUUGUUGGUGAGGUAAUGGCUCACCAAGGCGACGACGGGUAGCCGGCCUGAGAGGGCGACCGGCCACACUGGGACUGAGACACGGCCCAGACUCCUACGGGAGGCAGCAGUGGGGAAUAUUGCACAAUGGGCGCAAGCCUGAUGCAGCGACGCCGCGUGAGGGAUGACGGCCUUCGGGUUGUAAACCUCUUUCAGCAGGGAAGAAGCGAAAGUGACGGUACCUGCAGAAGAAGCGCCGGCUAACUACGUGCCAGCAGCCGCGGUAAUACGUAGGGCGCAAGCGUUGUCCGGAAUUAUUGGGCGUAAAGAGCUCGUAGGCGGCUUGUCGCGUCGGUUGUGAAAGCCCGGGGCUUAACCCCGGGUCUGCAGUCGAUACGGGCAGGCUAGAGUUCGGUAGGGGAGAUCGGAAUUCCUGGUGUAGCGGUGAAAUGCGCAGAUAUCAGGAGGAACACCGGUGGCGAAGGCGGAUCUCUGGGCCGAUACUGACGCUGAGGAGCGAAAGCGUGGGGAGCGAACAGGAUUAGAUACCCUGGUAGUCCACGCCGUAAACGGUGGGCACUAGGUGUGGGCAACAUUCCACGUUGUCCGUGCCGCAGCUAACGCAUUAAGUG
rnacentral:rRNA from 1 species